CGACCGAUACAGACAGAGUGGGACUAAAUUAGAGGGUAAAAUAACCUUUUUUUUCCAUCGUUAUGUUCUCUCUGGAAUCUGUGUUUUAUCGGAACCAUGGAAAAUAUAUUUUAUUUUCAAUCAGUCCAUUCUUCCCCUGGAACAUGCGUGUAGUUGAACUUGAGACUUGUGAGUGAGAGAAAUCAAGCAAUUUAUGGACAACUAACGUGUUUUAGACCAAUGAGUAAUAGACAGUCACAGUAUACUAGGGAGGGACUAGGCGAUGCACUCAUGCAUGCAAAAAGAGGCCUUGGGUUUGGAGAAAAAUACCACUUAAAAGGAAAUAAACAACAAAUAUGUUUCAACUUUUAAGAUUUUUAAAGUAAAAUAUCUAAAUAUCGAUAUGCGCUUGUUUCUUGGACAAGGGGACCAGACAAAGAUGCGGUUAGUAUAAUACCAACAAACUAGAUAAUUGACUUUGACCCAACAGAUACUUCCAGAACAUAUCUUGUGGGAUAUCGAAUUGCUAACAUCAAGAAGCCUGUCAACGGAUGGCAAGUUGAGCAUGCAGUGGUGCUACAGUUAGCAGGCAAGUAAAUUAAAUUAGAUUUUUUUUUAGGUUUUUAAGAACAUUAUGUGCGUUCACACAGAAUGCGCUUUUCUGUACCAUUUCACUGCUUUUGGAAUUUUUUUUUUUUUUUUCAUCGUGUGCUUGGGUGUCGAGUCACCUUGUGACGCUGAAGUUAUUAGUUUUGAAAAGACGCUUACUGUGUGAAUCAGCCUGCAAGAGAAUUCUUAUAACAUCACACGAGCAAAGUGCUGUUUUUUGACUGUUAUUUGGCCAUAGGCCAGAGGUGACAAAAUAUCCUUUAAUAUAUUGUGUUUUGUAGCUUGUAAUGAUGCUAAUACAUUAAAACAUCUAUCUUUCUACAUUAAUGCAGGAAAAGAGUCUACACUGAAAUCUGCUGAGUGGGACCUUUUAAAAGCAGACACAUCAAAACUCAGAGACUCCGGAAACCCAAUCGCCUGUUCAUUGAAGAUAAGGAUUAAACUCCAACUGGAGACAUAAACUGCCAUAUUCCAAGGAAGAAAAAACUCAAACUUGCAGCUCAAAGAUGAGCAGAGGAAGAGAUUCUUUCUGAAGACAACCAUUUUACCCCAGCAAUCCAGAGUCCAAGAGAAUCUUCAGUGAAUGAAAAUGCUGCCCAAAUCCAGAACUUUAGAACCAGGGCAAGGCUUUUUAGAAGGAAAACAACAGACUGCGCAACAUGGUCGUUCAAGGCAACUUUGUUAGUGGACAUGAGACAAAUUCUAAACAAGAAAAAUUCUACAAAAGAUGUAUGUGAGAUUGAAAGUGAGGGUAAAAGUGCACCUAUCAAACCAUCCAAAGUGAAACUUGGAACCAUCGCUGUCUCCAUUCAUUGUUGGGCGACUGCAAAAGCUCAAGAUGCUGUCGUAAAACAACAUCCAGGGACCAGGGUAUCUGAUAUACGAAAAACAAUCAACACAAGAAUUUGUGAAUUAAGGCACCAACUUAAUGAAAAAAAAAAGUCUUCAACAGGACAACACUUUCAGGUCCUU